GAAUUCCAAAUUCUGUGACCUUGAGGCCUUGAGCACAGUGAGAAUGGCUGAGAACUCGCGAGUCCUCCGAAGCUGCUGCUCGGUCCUUGAGCAGCUGGGACGCUUUCUUCUUGUCUGAGAGAGACGGCAGCCUGUGAGGUGGGGUACCCGGGUGGGGAGCAGGAUGGAAUUGGAUGGAGCCAAGAAAUCAGCCGUUAUUUUUGUGGCUCCCGAGAAGUCAAGGGCUCUAGAACCCAAAGAGACAGAAUGCAAGAGUUUGGAUCCCUGGCAACUUUGAGCAACGUUUACUCACCCACGAGGUGCCUUAAUCUCCCAGAAAUCAGAAUGUUACGACUUUGCUGCACAGACAGUGUGGAAGGCAGGAAUGGACAUGACAGUGUACUUUCGACAUGACUCAUGCUUCUUUUGAAGCUGGGUGUUCCCAGGAAGUACUUUUCCAGAUGGUCUCUUCUGAGUGGACGUAGCAGGGCACCAGGAUCAAGUGCCUUUCAUGAAGCUCUCAGCUAUGUUGCUACCCAGUUAAAAAAAGAAAAUCUUUGGGUGAAAAGACCCGUUUCUUCAUGUUCUGCCCACCAGUCUGGAAGGAGAAGAGCCGGUCGCUGUGUAGACGCAUCAAGAGGACCCUGA
rnacentral:lncRNA from 1 species